rnacentral:rRNA from 1 species
AUGUUAAGCCUUAUUGCACCCAAAAGUGGAAAUUUUGGGGCCAAAUAUUUCUGCUUGAAUUUUGUGCCUGUAAACUCCUUCUACUUUCUGUCUGUUAUUACUAUAGCAUCUCCUCUCUUGUUACUGAAUGAGGAUUACCAUUUUAGCAGACCCCAAGCACCCGAGAUGGCAACUACAUUCACGGCACCAAUUCUGUGCAACUUGAGAGCGAACCCACGCCUGAACCACAGCACCAGACAACAACAGGCGGACUUGCACCUGAGCUCGGCGAGAAUGGCGCCCACGCUGACAGGCUCAAGAGCACGGAGCGACUUGCGCGCGGCGGCGGUGUACAAGGUGAAGCUGAUCGGGCCGGAGGGGAAGGAGAGCGUGAUCGAGGUGGCGGAGGACAGCUACAUCCUGGACGCGGCGGAGGAGGCCGGCGUGGAGCUGCCCUACUCGUGCCGCGCCGGCGCGUGCUCCACCUGCGCCGGCAAGGUCCUGGAGGGCGGCGUGGACCAGUCGGACCAGUCCUUCCUGGACGACGCGCAGGUCGGCGCCGGCUACGCGCUCACCUGCGUCGCCUACCCCACCUCCGACCUCAUCAUCCAGACGCACAAGGAGUCCGACCUCUACUAG